GUGAAUCAUCGAAUCUUUGAACGCACAUUGCGCCCCCUGGUAUUCCGGGGGGCACACCUGUCCGAGCGCCAUUUCAACCCUCAAGCUUCGCUUGGUGAUGGGGACCGCCCGAGGGCGGCCCCGAAACACGUGGGCGCCAACGGCCGGCCCUGAGCGUAGCAAAACCCUCGCUCGGGACCCCGGUCGGUGGCCGCCCCGAACCAAACUCACAAGGUUGGCCUCGGAUCAGGUGGGGAUACCCGCUGAACUUAAGCAUAUCAAUAAGCGGAGGA
rnacentral:misc_RNA from 1 species